UUGACAUAGAUUUUCUUUCCUGGGCUUACCGUUGAUGUCUUCUUUGCCGAUCUUUCACCCUAGAGACAAUGAAUCCUUGUCUCAACUCUUAGGCUCUCCUAUCGUUCAACGUAUCUGUCUUUAAUCUGGCUAAUAAAUGCUAUUGCCAUUUAACCAAAACGCUGUCGACCUCUCUGUUUCCUUCAUGCCAAAUCUAUAAAUUGGAGAAAGUUGAUCUCAUUCAUUCCUUGAUCGUCUUCUUCAUCGUGAUUUCAACCCUCUACGGUGUUUCCGCGGAUUCGGUAAAAGGCGAGUUCGUCUUUGGUCAGCUCUCGGAAAGGAGCAGAUUGGAAACUUGAUUAUUCUCACAUCACUUUUGAACUUCAAACAGUAGAUGGAUUGGUGAAGGACAGUACACAGUGUGCCCCUAAUGGCUACUAUUUCAUCCGUCUAUGACAAGGGCUCAUUCAUUUCUCAAGAUUAAUGGACCUGAAGGAUGGUCAUGGCAUCCAGAUAAGGUAACAUGUACCUCAAAUCGACCCCAGCUUCCAAAUUUUUUUUUGGAUCCCAAUCUCCCACCUAUCACAGAGUUCACAGCUAGAUGCUGUGGUGAAAGAAGCGACUUGGGAUGUAUAAAAAAGGAAAUAAGCUUUGUGAUGACAUGACAUCGAUCCUCACAUCUCCUGCUUAGUCUGCUAAACUAUCUGAUUUAUUGCCAACUACGAGAUUUUUUUAUGGUUUUCUCUUCUGACUUCUUAGCUGUUGAUUCUUAAUAAUAUGUGUUUUUUGAUUCAUGUUGUUUCAGAGAAAUGGCUAUCUCAGACACCGAGUGAACCUAUCAAAUCAUUCUUUAAGCCGGUGGAAAAGAGACGUAGCGUUCAAGUACAUGUUGAUGCCAUGAAACUCUCUUACAUCUGUGAUUGAAAGAUUCAUUUACGAUUUUUUCUAAUAAUAUUUAGAUAUGUUAGUUUUUAACAUUUUCUUACUGAGUUGUUGGUUGUCUACAUUUUCUGAUGAGAUUUAAUGUCAUUC